rnacentral:rRNA from 1 species
GAUGAACGCUGGCGGCGUGCCUAAUACAUGCAAGUCGAGCGAACGGACGAGAAGCUUGCUUCUCUGAUGUUAGCGGCGGACGGGUGAGUAACACGUGGAUAACCUACCUAUAAGACUGGGAUAACUUCGGGAAACCGGAGCUAAUACCGGAUGAUAUUUUGAACCGCAUGGUUCAAAAGUGAAAGACGGUCUUGCUGUCACUUAUAGAUGGAUCCGCGCUGCUUUAGCUAGUUGGUAAGGUAACGGCUUACCAAGGCAACGAUGCAUAGCCGACCUGAGAGGGUGAUCGGCCACACUGGAACUGAGACACGGUCCAGACUCCUACGGGAGGCAGCAGUAGGGAAUCUUCCGCAAUGGGCGAAGGCCUGACGGAGCAACGCCGCGUGAGUGAUGAAGGUCUUCGGAUCGUAAAACUCUGUUAUUAGGGAAGAACAUAUGUGUAAGUAACUGUGCACAUCUUGACGGUACCUAAUCAGAAAGCCACGGCUAACUACGUG